GGGAGGUCAACACUCCCAUGAGUCCCUCAGACUUUGGUCCUUGCAGGUCUCUGUGUUUCCUCCUCUUUCCCCAGGGCUUCUCCAAGGACAUUUUCUGAAGCCUUUCCAUCUGCUGAGCCAAAGAGAUUGCUCAAGACCAGAUGUGGAGAGCCCUUGGCCCAGUGAUCACAGCAGCUUCCACUUGACAGUGGCUGGAGGUUGACACAGGCCUGUGAGGCACAUGAACUCACCCCUGGUGUCCUGAUGACAGCCCCUUAAAAAGCAGCUCUGAACUCUGGUCCUACCUGGCCCGAUGAGGCCUGUGCUGUGGGAUAUGUGACAUGGAGCUGCCCCCAUGCAGGGUGAUCCCUUUGUUAAGCCACCGAAGAUGAAUUAAGGCACCAACGUGCCUGGAGGUGUCCUGGGGAUACAAGAAGUCAGGAAUUAAUUCUGUCAUGUCACCACCACUGUCAGGAGGACUCAUUAAAGCUGAACAAGAAUCAAAGGAUGAUUUGCCAGGAAGGAAAUAAAGACCCUCAUGACAAAGUGGGGGGCAGAGAAGGGCAGUGCACCGAGUCUCACUGCAUCAACUCAAGCUGUAAAUUAAACUGCAGUUGAUGGGAUGGGAUCUGGGUCUGGGGAGGCAUAGGCAGCAGUUUGGGGAGCUCCUCCUGGUGGUGGCCUGGAGCUGCUCCAGGCCUCUCCUUUUUUCCCAAGUUGUGACAGCUGUUUCAUGAACUGUGCAGUAUGAAAAAGUCAGCAGCAGCCUAUAAAACAUGUUUCCCUCGUUUCCCCUUUCUGUUGUCAAGAAGCUUCUGAUAUUCAAUGUAGUUGCCUUCUCCCAACACAAAAACAAUUGCUUCUUGGAAUGGAUUUUUGUUCCUCGGAACUGAGCUGUCACUGCCUGGCAGCAUCUGGGAUCAAAAUAUCUACAGUCAUCGUUUCAGCGUUUGACUUCAUGUCCCUGAAGACAGGUAGGUCGUGCUGUUUCUGAGCCGCCUUUGUCACUCUUGCCAUCGUACACUGCGAUCUUGUGUUGGGGACUCGUUUGGCAAUGCCUGAGAUGGCAGGAGCUGAAGCCGUCCCAACAAACGCCUUCCGCUGUUUGAUGUAUUGUAAGGAAUUAAGGUUGCAUCCUGCGUCAGUUCCAGCUUUUUGGUGUGGCUCCAAAUCAGCCUCAGAAACUGUUUGCUGUGCACUUACAUGAUAGAUAAGAAAUGCCUCAUUUAUCUCCUGGAUUGCCUGCAUCAGAGUCUGAUAUUACAUCUAAAAGAGAUUUACCCAAAGAAGCUUUGCUCAUUAUUUUUUCUUUAUAUUCAAAACACACAUCCAGUUUUCUUGCCUUUACAUAUCCUAAGACAGCAGUGGCAACAUUUUAUGGAGAUCAGUAAGUCUUUUUCCCCUCUCCAAGGUCUUCUGGCAAAGAACCAAAAGCUGAGGAUAGCUGAGCAGUGUUGUCAGGAAGCAUCCUCAUGGCCCCUUCAUCUUCCUCUUCUGGCCCCAUAGCACUUCUCAGGUGUUUGACCUCAUGUUCUCACGCUCUGCUCUAAGAUUCUAGGUCUUGCUGAACUGAUUCCCAAACCUCUGGGAAUGGACUUCCUUUACGUUUCUGCCAAAAUGUAUCAACUGGAGUUAAAUCAUACGACUUCCUGGUUUUGUCUCUAGGUCACGCUAGCACCAGCCAGGGACUUUUUCACUCCUGAAGAUUCUUCCAGGUUAACUCUGUGUACAUGGAAAUCGUAGGACUGAUAUGCCCAAAUAUGAUGUAGAGGAGUUCCCAGAUCCACGUUUCUGUCAACAGGAGUGAAGAAGGCUUUGAAAGCUGAAGCUGCCAGCUCCCAGCGCAUCACCUGUAGUGAAACCAUUUUUGGCGUCUCUUAGAUGUUCCGGAAACUUCUUAUCUGUUUUCACUGCUCCCGUUUCCAUUGCUAUUCCUGCUAAUUAUCUGAUUAUAGGAAUAGUACCCAGCAUAACAGAAAAGCAGAAGAGGCUGUCAACAUUCUGAGACCUGCGCUUCCUCACCUCCACCUGCCUCCCCUCUGCUGGCUUCUCAUCUGCACAGACACACACUCAAGAACCAUCCAUCCACACUGAAAAUAUCAUUUCUCUGCCACACCAACUGUAGGCCACACUUCAUUCUCCACUCACAGAGAAACUUCCAGGGAGACACGUGCAGCAGGAGAAGGUUUUCACGGCACAUCUAAGUCUUCCCUGGUGGUUCAGCAGUAAAGAAUCUGCUGGCCAGUGCAGGAGACACAGGUUCGAUCCCUGGUCUGGGAGGAUCCCACAGGCUGCAGAACAACUAAGCCCAUGUGUCACCACUACUGAGCCUGUGCUCUAGAGCGCAGGCGCCACAACUACUGAAGCUCAAGCAUCCUAGAACCCGCGCUCUGCAACAAGAGAAGCCACUGUGAUCAGAAGC
ensembl:lncRNA